AUCGAGUUUUAACGGUUGUUGCUGGCCUCUACGGGCAUGUGCACGCCUGACUUCAUCCUACUUCAACCUCUGUGCCUUUACUCUAAUCGUGAAAAGGUCCAUUCAUUGCGCUGAACACUGUCGAACUUAUUACUACAAACCUUCUAUGUUAUAGGAAUGUUUAUCUGCUUAUAACCAGUUAUAUA
rnacentral:misc_RNA from 1 species